rnacentral:tRNA from 1 species
AGAGGCUUAGCUCAGAGGAAAAGUGCUUGCCUAAUAUGCAUGAGACCCUGGGUUCAAACCCCAGUGCCAUCA